UAUUAUAGGCAUUUUUCUAGCAAGAGCCACAUAGCCACUUAGCCCGUAUGCUAAAGACUUUACAUACAUGUUAAAUAUUCGCAAAAACCUUAUGAGGCCAUUACUCUUAUUAUCCCCCAAUUGAAAGAUGAGAAAGUUGUGUAAGACACUGAGUGGUAAAAGAACUUGCCAAAGGUACGACAGUCAGUAAGUAGUGGAGCUGGGAUACAAACCCACCAUAGUGCGCUUUAAGCACAUAGGCAACCCAGACCUCUUUGAGAAUAUGGUGAAAACUAUGGUCGUUCACCACAAAAAUAAUACAAAAAGUUUCCUAUAAAAUAUUAGAAAGUUCAUACAUCUCUUAGAAGUCUUUAUGGAUCCCAGGUUAAGAACACCUUUACUGGAUUAGCCGGGUGUGAUAGCACAUGCCUGUAGUUUUAGGAGGCUGAGAUGGAGGAUCACUUGAACCCAGGAGUUCAAGACUGCAGUGAGCUAUGAGUAUACCACUGCACUCCAGCCUGGGCAACAGAGCAAGACCUUGUCUCUAGAGAAAAACAGAAAUUGAACAAAAAACAUCUGUUUUGGAAAGAACUGAG
rnacentral:lncRNA from 1 species